AGGGCAGGAUUGGCUGAAGUGGCUGGAGUUGCCUAACUUUAUUUAGAAAGCUGGAGGAACGGAAGAACCUAGACUGUGGAACCUCGAGUUGGCCUGGCAUUUUGAGGAUUCGCUGACGGGUACAUUGCGGUUCUGGUCAAGUAGAACAUUUAAAGGAACACGGAAGUUUGGCGUGCUGAGGCGACAGUCAGGGACGGCUCAGUCUUGGCCCUAGGGGUUUAUUCGAGCAGUACCCUCAAUCGUUUCUUCACGUAUUCCAAGUGCAUGUGUGGGAUACGCACGGGCCGGGGCGGAGUAGAGGUGGAGCUGGACAAGUUGGCGCAGCCAGGGAAGUCCUAUCCCCGUUCCUGAUGGGAUGCCACUUUUACCUGUCAGCUGCCUUGACUGCUUCGAGGGGGGUGGGCCAUGUGGCAACAAACUAAGAUAACCAGGUCUCAUCCAGAAGCUUUGGUUUUAUAGAUUGCCAAUUUAAGAGGAAAAAUCUCAGACUGCUUGUGAAUUCAUGAAUGUCAUAAAUUUCACUGUGAAGAAUUAUUCAAGCCUCUGCCUGUGGAGUUAAUGGUUGGCCUACUCCUCCACUCCUGCAGUGCUAACUCCUCCAGCCCCCGGGCUACUGUGUUCACAGAGUGGGUCUUUACGGAACAUGUUUCAGUCAAUUAAGUGUUUGACUCUUGAUUUCAUCUGGAGUCAUGAUCUCAGGAUCGUGGGAUAAAGACCUGCUUUGGGCUAUGCACACAGGAAGGAGUCUGCUUGCGAUUCUCUCCCUUUCCCACUGUCCCUUGCCC